rnacentral:rRNA from 1 species
ACACUCCUGCGGGAGGCAGCAGUGGGGAAUUUUGGACAAUGGGCGAAAGCCUGAUCCAGCAAUGCCGCGUGAGUGAAGAAGGCCUUCGGGUUGUAAAGCUCUUUUGUCAGGGAAGAAACGGUGAGAGCUAAUAUCUUUUGCUAAUGACGGUACCUGAAGAAUAAGCACCGGCUAACUACGUGCCAGCAGCCGCGGUAAUACGUAGGGUGCAAGCGUUAAUCGGAAUUACUGGGCGUAAAGCGUGCGCAGGCGGUUUUGUAAGUCUGAUGUGAAAUCCCCGGGCUCAACCUGGGAAUUGCAUUGGAGACUGCAAGGCUAGAAUCUGGCAGAGGGGGGUAGAAUUCCACGUGUAGCAGUGAAAUGCGUAGAUAUGUGGAGGAACACCGAUGGCGAAGGCAGCCCCCUGGGUCAAGAUUGACGCUCAUGCACGAAAGCGUGGGGAGCAAACAGGAUUAGAUACCCGAGUAGUCCCAUGAU